rnacentral:piRNA from 1 species
AAGAAACCUUUGGACCACUAAUUUGGGA